GGCGAACGCUGGCGGCGUGCCUAAUACAUGCAAGUCGAACGAGAGCAACCGGUGCUUGCACUGGUCAAUCUAGUGGCGAACGGGUGAGUAACACGUGGGUAACCUGCCCAUCAGAGGGGGAUAACAUCCGGAAACGGAUGCUAAAACCGCAUAGGUCUUCGAACCGCAUGGUUUGAAGAGGAAAAGAGGCGCAAGCUUCUGCUGAUGGAUGGACCCGCGGUGCAUUAGCUAGUUGGUGAGGUAACGGCUCACCAAGGCCGUGAUGCAUAGCCGACCUGAGAGGGUGAUCGGCCACAUUGGGACUGAGACACGGCCCAAACUCCUACGGGAGGCAGCAGUAGGGAAUCUUCCGCAAUGGACGCAAGUCUGACGGAGCAACGCCGCGUGAGUGAAGAAGGUUUUCGGAUCGUAAAACUCUGUUGUUAGAGAAGAACAAGUGCUAGAGUAACUGUUAGCGCCUUGACGGUAUCUAACCAGAAAGCCACGGCUAACUACGUG
rnacentral:rRNA from 1 species